rnacentral:other from 1 species
GGUUGGCUGCGGUGUUUGAUUGGACCGGUUAAUAUAAUCCAACACUUAUAUUACGGGAGCCUUGACUCCGAAGUGGAUUGCAGACCUCCCGGCCUUCAGACCGGACGAAGGGAGCGUGAAGCGCAGGGCGGGCACCCACCUGUCGCAAGACGGGUUUUAUCACCCGGUUCGCCGGCACCGCGGCUUUUUC